AUUAUGUAUAUGAGAACAUAAAACUAAAAAGUAUGGAAAAGAUAUUUAAGGAUGUUGGACUGUAAUGGGGCCGACGGGUCCGUUUCAGGUCAUUAACCACUGACUAGCAAUGAGAGGAAGGAUCGAGUUACGGACCGUGGUCUUGCAGAAAAUAGGCUUGAGUAGCCAAGGUUAAUAAGCUUAAGUAGCCAAAGUUAAUAUAGG
rnacentral:sRNA from 1 species